rnacentral:tRNA from 2 species
GACUCAGUAGCUCAGUUGGUAGAGCACAUCCCUUUUAAGGAUGGGGUCCUGGGUCCGAAUCCCAGCUGGGUCA